GAUGAACGCUAGCGGCAGGCCUAAUACAUGCAAGUCGAGGGGUAGAGGAAGCUUGCUUUCUUGAGACCGGCGCACGGGUGCGUAACGCGUAUGCAACCUACCUUUAUCAGGGGGAUAACCCGGAGAAAUCCGGAUUAACACCGCAUAAAAUCACAGAAAAGCAUUGUUUCAUGAUCAAAUAUUUAUAGGAUAAAGAUGGGCAUGCGUGCCAUUAGCUAGUUGGCGGGGUAACGGCCCACCAAGGCGACGAUGGCUAGGGGCUCUGAGAGGAGAAUCCCCCAAACUGGUACUGAGACACGGACCAGACUCCUACGGGAGGCAGCAGUAAGGAAUAUUGGUCAAUGGGGGCAACCCUGAACCAGCCAUGCCGCGUGCAGGAAGACUGCCCUAUGGGUUGUAAACUGCUUUUGUACGGGAAUAACCACUGGUAUGUAUACCAGCCUGAAUGUACCGUAAGAAUAAGGAUCGGCUAACUCCGUGCCAGCCGCCGCCGUAACAC
rnacentral:rRNA from 1 species